rnacentral:tmRNA from 1 species
GCCUAAUCGCACUCUGCAUCGCCUAACAGCAUUUCCUAUGUGCUGUUAACGCGAUUCAACCUUAAUAGGAUAUGCUAAACACUGCCGUUUGAAGUCUGUUUAGAAGAAACUUAAUCAAACUAGCAUCAUGUUGGUUGUUUAUCACUUUUCAUGAUGCGAAACCUAUCGAUAAACUACACACGUAGAAAGAUGUGUAUCAGGACCUUUGGACGCGGGUUCAAAUCCCGCCGUCUCCAUAU